GGGCUGGUAGCUCAGUUGGGAGAGCGCCGCGUUCGCAAUGCGGAGGUCGUGGGUUCAAUCCCCAUCCGGUCCA
rnacentral:tRNA from 1 species